UGAAAGUAGAUGAGCUUGCUUAAAAUGAAAUAUGCCACCGAGUGAUAUAAAGCUUUCAAACUCCUUUGAGCAGAAGCAGAAGUAAUCCUUCUGCAGUUUGGGAACAUUUUUCCUUCAUUCUUUUCCUAAGGAAUGAAAGAGAUGAAAAUCUAAGGCAUCUCUGUUAUGGUCUGCACUGAAGUUACUAAGUUAAAAAACAAGUCUAGCAAGUUUUAAAGAAAGGAGCUGUUAAGUAGAAGACAAAUAUUUUCAUUAGUGCUGAGUGGAAAAGGAAAAGUUUCAUGUGACACAUCAAUGUUCAAUAAAUACUCAGAUGAAACCCUUUUAAUUCAGAGAAGUGGGAGCAAACAACUAAGUAUUUUGAAAUGAGGUUAAUUUACAUCAACAAAAUUGAUAUAGAAGCCAUCAAUUUUUUUCUCAUUAAAUGCUGAGAUAAUGCUAUUUAUGCAGCACCUGUGUGAUUUUCCCAUGUAAAAGAGAUACUCUCAAGAUGAUUGUAGAUGUCUUUGACUAAGACAUAACAAUUCAGUAUAACUGAAAAAGAAGAUGCUAAAUGCUUGUAAGAAAAUUAAGAAAGGCAAACCCAGAAACAAAAUCAAAAAGACAAACAAACAAAAAAACAA